rnacentral:sRNA from 1 species
UCACUAAGCUUACGUUUAUUCCCUUCUUC